CCCUUAGAUGUCCGGGGCCGCACGCGCGCUACACUGAAGGAAUCAGCGUGGCUUUCUCCCUGACCCGAAAGGGUUGGGAAACCCGUUAAAUCUCCUUCGUGAUAGGGAUUGGGGCUUGAAAUUGUUCCCCAUGAACGAGGAAUUCCCAGUAAGCGCGAGUCAUAAGCUCGCGUUGAUUACGUCCCUGCCCUUUGUACACACCGCCCGUCGCUACUACCGAUUGAACGGUUUAGUGAGGGCCUCGGAUUGGUCUCGGCCCGCUCUUUACCGGGCGGCGCCGUUGGUCGAGAAGACGCUCGAACUUGAUCGUUUAGAGGAAGUAAAAGUCGUAACA
rnacentral:rRNA from 1 species